GAGGGGGAAUGACGCUCAGUGGGUAAUGGCGUUCACCUAGGUAAAUCUAUCAAAACGCAGCAUAGCAACACGCCACGACGCAUGAAGGCGCGGGGGAAGGGGGCCUCUAACAGGCGGCGACACGAACCGACAGUCAGCCCGCAUCAGCUGACCGUGAAGUGCGUUUCUUUGUUUGAGGCCGCGCCGAUGUAAUUUUACGUUUGGUGUUUUCUGUCGAUAUGCCAAGAAAACGCAGUUAAUCGUAACCAAAAACCCGUUGAUGAGCCAAGAUCUCCGGUAUCAUUUGCUGCUAUAGCAAUCACACCUACUCCAGGACCAUCUUUUAAGCGAGGUCAAAGAAAGCGAAAACAACAUGCUACCAUUUUAACAGCAACCCCUAUGAAAAUUAUUUUAGAAGACAAAGAAAAGAAAAAAGUAGAGAAACUUAAGAAAACGGGGAAUAAAGUUGCCAAAGGGAAGAAACCAAAGAAACAAAAAACGCACAAGAGAAAAAUUUUAAUGUCCAGUUCUUCAAAUAGUGAUGAUGGAGACCAAAUAUGCGACGAUGACAGCGAUGAUGACAUGAAUGUGGAUAAUGAAAAUUACAAUAAAUGCAUCAUCUGCGAAUAAUUCGGCAAAAACAAGGAAUUGUGGUACCGUUGCACCCUCUGCGGGCUGUGGGCCCACGCCAUAUGUUCGGGAUGGGAUGCACCAGAUGGUUUUAUCUGUGAUUUAUGUGUUCCAAAAUAACGAAUUAAUACGAAUUUGUGUUUCUAGAACUCACUUUUAUUUUAUAAUGUUGAUAUCAUUCCUGUUUUUUUAAUUAACACAUAUAAAAUCGGUUAUAUUUCUUAAAAACAUGUUUGAGCGUCGUUACCCCGUACCCCGAGCGGUAUUACCCAGAGUAAGGGGGCAAUGCCGCUCAAGCAUGCUUUUUUUAAAAUGUUUUUUUACUAUUAGUAAAUAAAAGGUAUACGCUGUUAUUGUUAACUAGUUGAUUACUAGAGAGUUAAAGACUAUGUUUCUUUUUUAAAUUUUGAAUUAAAAUGUCUAAUCAAAAAAAUA